AACGUAGGAGACAAACGUUAUCCGGAGUUACUGGGCGUAAAGGGCGUGUAGGUGGUUUCGUAAGUCUGGCGUGAAAUUUUUCGGCUUAACCGGGAAAGGUCGUCGGAUACUGCGGAACUAGAGGACGGUAGAGGCGUGUGGAAUUCCGGGUGUAGUGGUGAAAUGCGUAGAGAUCCGGAGGAACACCAGUGGCGAAGGCGACACGCUGGGCCGUACCUGACGCUGAGGCGCGAAAGCUAGGGGAGCAAACAGG
rnacentral:rRNA from 1 species